UUCCUUUGCUUGUAUUUUACCAUUCGUGUCGUUUCGGUGUGCCGAGCGCACGCUUCGCGGGUAGCGCUCGCUCGUUCACCAGCCGGCUCAUUGUCGCUAUAAACCAACCGUGACUUUGUUCUCCAAUCCGUAACGUCAACACGUGAAACAUUCUUACAUUUUUCGAAUAGUGAAAGAGUGAAAGAAAUACGACAAUAUCAGUGAAAUGGCAUGCUGAUCACCAUAAUGUUUGAUUGUGUUAGUUCACACUGUUGAUGCAGGGAACGCUGGUAACAUCUCAAACAAGCUUAAGUGUGGCCAUGUACGCGACGUCGAUGGCGUCGACGCCGACUUCAGGGUCCCGGGGCGACCUCACCGGCGCAGUGGAGAGACGCAUACGGGUGAUACGACUGCUGCGACCGCGCAGAGCAGCACCGGCCUUCGGCUUCUCCUUGAGAGGCGGCAAGGAAUACGCCACGGGCUUCUUCGUAUCCAAAGUUGAGCACAAUUCUGAAGCCCACCUUCAAGGAUUGAAGGUUGGUGACCAGCUGGUAACCGUGAAUGGGUACCGCGUGGACGACGCUGUGCAUGCCGAGCUGGUCCAUUACAUCACAUCGCAGUCCAGGCUCAAGAUCAAAGUUAGACAUGUAGGAAUGCUGCCUAUAAGGGAAAAAGAAUACGAGCCUCUUUCAUGGCAAUUUGUAUCAGAGCGUUCUUCAUUGGCAUCAGAAGUGUCUUCCUCGCCUACCCUUUGCCACAAUACGGAUCAUAUGCCAGAUUUAAGGCUUUCUAUCUUAGUACCUCCAAGAGCUAAGCUUGGUUGCGGGAUAUGCAAAGGCCCAGAAUGGAAGCCCGGUAUUUUUGUGCAAUUUGUUCGCGAAGGCGGUAUCGCUAAAGAAGCUGGCUUACGGCCCGGCGACCAAAUAUUAUCCUGCAAUGGUCUAAAUUUCUCUAACAUAUCAUUUAAUGAGGCCGUAUCAGCCAUGAAAGUGUGCGGUCGCCUGGAACUAAUAGUACGAGAGGGCGCGGGUGCAGAGCUGGUGUCUCCAGAAAGUUCUGGUUACAACAGCUCCGCGUCGUCUGCCGCGGGAGAGAGGAGUCCCGCCUCAGUGGCACCCGUCGUGCCUCUCGCUCCCCCCGCCGCGCUACGAAGGAGGCUCGCGAGUGUCGCGGAGGAAGCUGCAGAUAGAGCAGAUAGACUAACAAUGAAUAGAAUGAAAAGGAGAACAUGGGACAGCUUGGAUUUCGAAUGGAAAAAUGGCGACAUACAUAAUUUUGAUGCUCCCUCAGACAUAGAACCUGAUUACGACAGUCCUAGUAUACCAAAUAAUCCUCACACCUAUGAAAAUAAGACCCAUAUGAUUAAUAACAAAGUAAAAAAUGAUUACGAACCAUCCAAAAAUACGACUCAAUUAAAUAGAACAAUAAUAAAUUUGACUGAAGACGGGGCUACUAUACAGUGUAGCUACGAUAACAGUUCAUCGAAGAAACCCUCAUUCACCACGAGUCAGACGAAUAGAGAAAACGAAAAGAAGACAAUAGUUGUAGAAGUACACCACAAUAUGAAUUCCGCACAGAGUGGGAAAGCACAUUGUAAUUAUCCAGCACCGCCUAAGUAUGAUAUGAAUUUGGAUACAACUAGUAUAUCAAGUUCUGCUACGUUAUCGAGUGCCAUUGUAGAGGAGAUACAACGAAGGAAAUUGAAUAUGAAAAAAUCAUCGACUGAUAAAGAGCCAAUAAUACCAGUCAAGAAAGUAAGUGUCACAAAACCAGUUGAAGACGACAAGAAAAAACAUCAUGAUGCACUAAUGGAUGAAUUUAAGAAAGUACACAGAAAAAUGUUUGCCAAUCAAGAAAAUGAACAAUGCACAGCCAACGAUGCGGAAAAUAAUAUGGAUCGGCAACACACAUUGCGAGUAAGGAAAUCUGUUGAAGAAUCGAUAGAAAAUUUAAAAGAAAAUCACAUCCAAGAAAGACUAAAUAAUGCGGAAAAACCACCUCCACCACCUCCAAUGCCGAUCUCCAAUGGUCAUCAUGGCGUCGAUACUAAAAAUGGGGAUCCAAAACCAAAGACAGAUGAAACGAAUUUCUUAAAAUCACCUAAUGUGAAAAAGGUUGCAACGGUCAAUCGGACUCCUACACCCGAUUACAAUAACAAAGACAUACCUGUGCCAGUUAAAGCAAAGAAUUAUAUUGAAGGAAAUGCUGAUAUAGAUUCGUUAGAGUCUUAUAAACUACAAAAUCCAUCGAACAUGCAGCCAAGGCCUCCUUCAAAUUAUUUCAGUAAAGCACCCAAUGGAACGGCCACUAUGAAAAAACAUUCCAGACCAGUAUCCGUUACCAUUGGAGAAUAUGUUAACAAUAUGCAUACGAGAAGAGAGCCUUCAAAAUUAGAAUUCCUUAAUGGAGACACUAAAAAGAAUGGACAUAAAAUAAUAGACGAAGAUUCCAUAACGAGCCGUCUGCAAUCAGAAUUAGCUAUGACGCUAUCUAGGUCAAAUUUGCGUAAAAAGACUGAAGCCAUGGAUUGUAAUGGUAUCUUAGCUAGAACCUUAACUAAGAUCGAUUCGGUUGAUGAAAAUUUUCACGCUAGAUAUGGCAACAAUUUAUUACCGCUACCGCCAACUAUAACCAUACCUAAAGUAACAAAAUUCAAACAUUGAUCGUCCAAUGCCUGCGCCACUCUAAUGAUAGAAUAAAAUUAGGCUGAUGGAGAACGGCACACUUGAAGACUUCGGCGCACCUCAUGUAGGUAUAGGGACGUAAAAAUAUAUCAGUGCUUGCAAAUGUGUAAUUUUAAUAAUUCAUUUAGAUUGAUUGUCUGUCGCGAUAGCAGCCAUGAAAUAUUUUGAUUACUUAUUUACUGAAUGUAAAACAAUAUUAUGAUUUGUCUUAAGUGUAUGUUGAAAAGUUUAGAUUAUUUGAUGGUAAACUCAAAGCAAGACUGAGAUUCGCACCUCGUGGAGCAUCGGAAUAAAAUUCAAUUUUGGAACUGUGAAGUAUAAACACUUACCUAAGUCAUAAUUAAUGUUAUUUUACACAAUAAAUAUAAGUACUUCAAAA
rnacentral:misc_RNA from 1 species